GACGAACGCUGGCGGCGUGCCUAAUACAUGCAAGUAGAACGCACAGUUUAUACCGUAGCUUGCUACACCAUAAACUGUGAGUUGCGAACGGGUGAGUAACGCGUAGGUAACCUGCCUGGUAGCGGGGGAUAACUAUUGGAAACGAUAGCUAAUACCGCAUAAUAUUAAUUAUUGCAUGAUAAUUGAUUGAAAGAUGCAAUUGCAUCACUACCAGAUGGACCUGCGUUGUAUUAGCUAGUAGGUGAGGUAACGGCUCACCUAGGCGACGAUACAUAGCCGACCUGAGAGGGUGAUCGGCCACACUGGGACUGAGACACGGCCCAGACUCCUACGGGGGGCAGCAGUAGGGAAUCUUCGGCAAUGGACGAAAGUCUGACCGAGCAACGCCGCGUGAGUGAAGAAGGUUUUCGGAUCGUAAAGCUCUGUUGUAAGAGAAGAACGGGUGUGAGAGUGGAAAGUUCACACUGUGACGGUAUCUUACCAGAAAGGGACGGCUAACUACGU
rnacentral:rRNA from 1 species